rnacentral:lncRNA from 1 species
GGCUUGCCAGGCCCCCAAGGCUAAGGGGACGAACCGGUCUUGAGCAAAGAUCUCACAUAAAGAGGCCCACAGCCUGUUUCUCCCACAGUUUGAGGCAGAAUGAGCACAGAGCCAGGGCCUACCUGCCCUUCUUCCCUUCCAGGCCACCUCCGGCCAGGUGCUGCUCCAGAUAAGGGCAACCAAAGCCAGCCAAGAUUCAUCUGCCCGCAGGAGGUCAUGUGGCCAAGGUAUUCCUGGCAUUUAAGUGGACAGAGUCUGGUUGAGUAAUUCCAAAGGAAAGGGCUGAGAAGAAGGAUGCCUGGUGGCACAGGGAGCUUCUCUAAUGCCCUCACAAUUCUGUUCUGGCUCCAAACUUGCAUACUUCACUCAGUAAAACACAGGCUUGACUAAAGCAGAACCUUCUCCUAGAAGGCAGUUUAGCAACCCUAUCUUGCUCCUUGGGCAUUUAUUUCCCUUUGGAAUCUUUUUUUUUUUUUUUUAAGAUUUUAUUUAUUUAUUUGACAGAGAUCACAAGUAGGCAGAGAGGCAGGGAGGGGUGGGGGGAAAGAAGGCUCCCCGCUGAGCAGA